rnacentral:rRNA from 1 species
UACGUAGGGGGCAAGCGUUGUCCGGAAUCAUUGGGCGUAAAGAGCGUGUAGGCGGCCAGAUAAGUCCGCUGUGAAAUCUCGAGGCUCAACCUCGAGCUGUCGGCGGAAACCAUCUGGCUAGAGUCCGGAAGAGGAGAAUGGAAUUCCCGGUGUAGCGGUGAAAUGCGCAGAUAUCGGGAAGAACACCCGUGGCGAAGGCGGUUCUCUGGGACGGUACUGACGCUGAGGAGCGAAAGCGUGGGGAGCGAACGGG